GGGUCAGUAGGUUGGUCGUGCCACCGGUACGUACUGGUCUCACUGAUUCCUCCUUCCUGAAGAACUGUAAUGCCAUUAAUUUGGUGUUGCGGGGAAACAGGACUGUUACUUUGAAAAAAUUAGAGUGUUUAAAGCAAGCUAACGCUUGAAUACAUUAGCAUGGAAUAAUGAAAUAGGACGAUCGAUCCUAUUUUGUUGGCUUCUAGGAUUGACGUA
rnacentral:rRNA from 1 species